CCUCGGGGCGAUGCGGGAAGAUCUCUUCACUUGAAGAUCCUUAAUCACGUCAGCAAAGUCCCUUUUACCACAUGCAGAGGGUGGGGCAGAGCCCCCCAGAUGUGACCUUAUUAGAAGCCCCAGGAGACUGUGUCCUGUGACGUAACAUUCCCAGGGGCCAGGGAGCAGGACGAGACACCCUUGGGGCCAUUAUUCAGCUGACUGCAGGACCUCAGAGAGGACUGCGUGGGCACCUGAGCAUCAGGCGGGGGGGCUGGGGCUGGAGGCCAGCUGAGCCCUCAGGAGAAGGAACCGUUCCCUGUCGUCUGACAACAAACCAGGGGCUGAGUCAAGGUCAGUUUAAAUUUCCAGCUUGAAGGCGUGGAAAGCAGGGCAAUGGGACCACGCAGUCUGAGCAGUAAGCAACUUGCAUGGCUCUGCUCGGGCUCCAUG